CCUACGGGCGGCAGCAGUGGGGAAUAUUGGACAAUGGGCGAAAGCCUGAUCCAGCCAUGCCGCGUGUGUGAAGAAGGCCUUCGGGUUGUAAAGCACUUUCAGUGGGGAAGAAAGCCUUGGGGCUAAUACCCUCGAGGAAGGACAUCACCGACAGAAGAAGCACCGGCUAACUCCGUGCCAGCAGCCGCGGUAAUACGGAGGGUGCGAGCGUUAAUCGGAAUUACUGGGCGUAAAGCGCGCGUAGGCGGUCUGAUAAGCCGGUUGUGAAAGCCCCGGGCUCAACCUGGGAACGGCAUUCGGAACUGUCAGGCUAGAGUGCAGGAGAGGAAGGUAGAAUUCCCGGUGUAGCGGUGAAAUGCGUAGAGAUCGGGAGGAAUACCAGUGGCGAAGGCGGCCUUCUGGACUGACACUGACGCUGAGGUGCGAAAGCGUGGGUAGCAAACAGGAUUAGAUACCCGGGUAGUC
rnacentral:rRNA from 1 species